GUUCCUCAACUGCGUUGCCCCUCCAGUCAGCAGAUGGCGAUGUGCGUCUUUUACGUUCAGGCGACGCUGCCAGUGUGACGUAUAAUCUAGUGGACGGGACGCUCCUUCAACAACAACAGUUAGACACCUCGGUAGCUUUCUAGCAAACAUAGCUACAACAUUCACUCUCUUUUGGUGUAUGUUAGUCCCUGUGUAUUAAACACACUUCUGACGUAUGUACGUGUUGGCCCAUUUAAUUAUAUAUUUACGUGGUUUGUCAGCUAGCUGGUUUGCUAAAUUAGCUUAGAACUAGGCUAGUUGCUAAUGCUAGCUAGCGAACAUCUCCGACCAUGAGUUCACUAAGCUGCUCUCCUCCUGCUAAAGUAGAGGAGGUCUUCUGGACGUAGAAAGAAGCUCCCCUGAAAGAGGAGGAGGAAGAGAAGGAUGUUACAAUACAAAAACAAGUAGAGGGUGAGGCUGUUCCCGUGAAAGAAGAAGAGAAAGACGUUUCAGUGAAAGAAAAGGAAGACUCGUUCAGAGUGAAAGAGGAGGAGGAUGUUACAGUAAAAGAAGAGGAAGCGGAGAGAGAGGAGGAUGCAGUUUAUGGAGUGAAAGAGGAGGAGGGGGAGAUGACUGUCACAUCGAAAAAGGAGGAGGAGGGCGAAGAGGAGGAAACUGGAUAUCUGGGCCCGGUUUCCCCAACGCAUCUUAACGCAUCCUAUGGUUCUGAUGGUGAACUCAGCCAUAAGAUGGUUUUGAGAAACCGGGCCGUGAUUAACACUAGAGAGAGAUGUGACUAUCGUGGAUCCUCAACAACAUCAUGAAGCUGACGAGGCAGAGAAGAGUCCCUCCGGAUCAGAACACCUCAAGAAACACCAGUGGAGACCAACAGGGAAGACAUCUCACUGCUGCUCUGACUGUGGGAAGAGUUACUUAAGAUCAAAUUCACUAAAAGUACACAUGAGAAUUCACACAGGAGAGAAAUCUUAUAGCUGUGAUCAAUGUGGGAAGAGUUUUACUUCAUCUAGCCAUCGGAUUGUACACCAGAGAACACACACAGGAGACAAAUCUUAUAGCUGUGAUCAAUGUGGGAAGAGUUUUACUCAGUCAAGCAGCCUGUUAUCUCACCAGAGAAAACACACAGGAGAGAAAUCUUUUAGCUGUGAUCAAUGUGACAAGAGAUACUCUGAUAAAAGAUCUCUGAUCAAACAUCAGAAAAUACAUUAAUGAUGGAGUUGUUUCAUGAUAUCAAUGAAUUAAUGUCACAAUGUAGAAUGUUUAAACAUUGUAGAAGGAGUAUUUUAAUGAUGUCGCAAUGUAGAAUGUUUAAACAUUGUAGAAGGAGUAUUUUAAUGAUGUCACAAUGUAGAAUGUUUAAACAUUGUAGAAGGAGUAUUUUAAUGAUGUCACAAUGUAGAAUGUUUAAACAUUGUAGAAGGAGUAUUUUAAUGAUGUCACAAUGUAGAAUGUUUAAACAUUGUAGAAGGAGUAUUUUAAUGAUGUCACAAUGUAGAAUGUUUUAACAUUGUAGAAGGAGUAUUUUAAUGAUGUCACAAUGUAGAAUGUUUAAACAUUGUAGAAGGAGUAUUUUAAUGAUGUCACAAUGUAGAAUGUUUAAACAUUGUAGAAGGAGUAUUUUAAUGAUGUCACAAUGUAGAAUGUUUUAACAUUGUAGAAGGAGUAUUUUAAUGAUGUCACAAUGUAGAAUGUUUAAACAUUGUAGUAGGAGUAUUUUAAUGAUGUCACAAUGUAGAAUGUUUUAACAUUGUAGUAGGAGUAUUUUAAUGAUGUCACAAUGUAGAAUGUUUAAACAUUGUAGUAGGAGUAUUUUAAUGAUGUCACAAUGUAGAAUGUUUUAACAUUGUAGUAGGAGUAUUUUAAUGAUGUCACAAUGUAGAAUGUUUUAACAUUGUAGAAGGAGUAUUUUAAUGAUGUCACAAUGUAGAAUGUUUAAACAUUGUUGUAGGAGUAAUUUAAUAAUGUCACAAUGUAGAACACUAAACGUUUGCCCCCUGUUCAAUUGAUUUCUGCAUAAUAUGGAUAUUAGCCUCAGGGGGAAAAUCCAGGCUCUGAAUGUAAAGAGUGAUAUUUAUAUGAUAUAACAGAAAGUGACUAACACAAAAAGAGCUGUGUUACACUUACAGCAUUGGUGACCCACUUGAAUCAAAAUGUAGCUAGAUGUUUUCUACAAGUUGUCCUCUAACCAGUGAUGUACACAUUAUUCCCAGAUUCCAUGUGGUUUUUGAGCUGUUAGUUUUUAACAGGACAACAACAUCUCCAGACUCUCACGCAAAUGAUUUCAACAUGAUAUCGAUGAGUGAUGAAAAAUAAGUGUUGCGUUCCUUUGUUUAACGACCUCUAAAUGUAAAUGCAUCUCUCCAAAAUGUAGCUGACUGUCUUCUGCAGGUUGUCCUCUAACCAGGGAGGUAAAAUAUAUCUCCCAUUUCCAUGUGUUUUUUUAGUUGUGUUAGUUUCAACUGCACCUACAACCUGAUUUGUCCGCUAACCAGUGAUACUUAUUACUUAUACUCAAUACUUAUUUUCCACCAUAAUUUGCAAAUAAAUUCAUUAAACAUCCUACAAUGUGA